GAACAGCACAUUUAUAAAUUUUAUAACUACAGUGCCUCUUUCUUCAAAAAGAGAAGCACACAGGGCCAUGGCAGACGGAGGGUGGAGAUCCCAAUGUGAGAAUACCUCUUUCGAACCGGAUGACAUUUUGGACCAAGAACUAGUUUUGUGACCUCUUCUGCGUCAGGCUCUGCCAUUAUAUAUUGCCACAAUCCACAUGAUCUCCUCACAGAGACAGAGCAUUGAAGCAAAUAAGGAGCCAGUAAGCUACGGAAAUCACGUUCUAUGCACAUUGUGAAUGUCAUUGUCAGCGAGACAGCGCUAUAUGAUAUCCAUGUAAAAAUUUCAUUUUAUAUGAAAGAAGCCUUUUUGCCCCUCUGUGAUAAUUUGUCACGAGGCAGCGUGGUGGUGUUGCGCA